AGUGCCCAGUGUGCUCAAGCUUAACCUGUACACUAACACAUUCAACAUUAUCCCACCCUGUCAGGAGUUUAAAGAAUUGGUUCACCCAAAAAUGUUGUUAAUCACUGAUAAAUCUACGGGCAGACGGCACUAAACAGCGCUGUGAGAUCUAGUGUGAAGCGGCCGGAAUUCAGUGAAGAACACAAAUGACACACUGAUUUAAACGAGUGUAAAACCAGAUGAAACACUGUGCACUGAUACAGUCAGAAGGCUUUUCAGUCUACAAAUCACCAUCAUUUACCAUGGAUUUACUGUAGUAACACUAGCUGCACCAUGAUAGUAAUAAUAUUUUACAGUGAUACAGUUUUUUAAUUCAAAUGAAUACACCUUGAUAAGCACGAGACUUCUUCCUAAAAAUUGAAAAGUCUUAAUUAUUCCAAACUUUUGACUGGCAGUGUAAGUAAUGACAAAAUGUUCAGUUUUUUUUUUUUUUUAAUUUCUUUGGAAGAUCUUGGAAGAAAACCCUUUUUAGAUCGUUCAGACUGGAGUAACUCCAAACCAAGCUCUGCCUUCAAACCUCUUGCCUCAUGCACACCUCCACAAUUACACGUGUGCGCAGGAAUCGGAGGCUUCGCAUCAAUCACGGAAGUCAAGAUGAAAACUACAGAUGAUAUGGAGUUGGUACAUACGUUUCUGUAUUAUGCCACACAUUUCAUCUUUGGUCCUGUAUAUGCACUUCAAUGAUAUUUGAUUCAAUGUUAUGUGUUGGCAUUGUGAUUUGAAAUGCAAGAACAACAAAUCUGUGUAAAUAGUUUGCAAAGCCAAUCUUGCAUAAAUUUCUGUAUAAAAAAAAUAGCUGUUUAAUACAGGUUUUAUGAAUAGUUUUACGUCAUGCAAAAAUUUGUAAUGGUUUUGCCCAUUGAAUGCGACAUUUUAUAUAAGAAUGUUUUUUUUUUUCAGUGAUUUUAGACAUUGAAUUGAUUGACGAUUUUAUGAAUGCUUUAGUUGUUGAAUUGAUCAACAGUUUACACAAAAGUGCUUUAUGAAUAGUUAUACUCAUUGAAUUGAUUGUAACAAUUUACGUUUUCAAUGGUUUUACAAAAUUGUAAAGUAAAUUUGAGAAUUGUGUAGUUUUACGCAAGUUUACGUAAGUAUAUUUUUAUGUGUUGAAUUGAAUAACAACUCCAGUAGUUUCAUGAAUAAUUUCAGUUGUUGAAUUAUGAUUUACAUAAAAUGGUUUCGUGAACAUUUGUACUCAUUGAUUUGAAAAAAAUAAAAAAAAAAAAAUGCAAGAAUAGUUUCAGUUUUAGUUUAAUUGAUUUGCGACAAUUUAUGUAAGUUUGAGUAUUUACGUAAAUGUUUUUUAUUUGUUUAACAGUUUCAUAUAAAUAUUUCACAAGUGAUUUCAGUUGUUGAAUUGUGGUUUACAUAAAAUGGUUUCAUGAACAUUUGUAUUAAUUUGAAAAAAAUAGCACAAAACUAAUACUAAUAGUUUUAGUUGUUGAAUUCAUUGCCAAUUUACAAGUGGUUUUACAUUUUAGUUGGAAUAGUUGAAUUAGCUAAUUGUGACAGAUCAUAUAAGAAUGGUUUUAUAAACGGUUUUAACAAUUUACGCAAGAAUGGUUUUAUGAAUGAUUUUAGUCGAUUAAUUAAUUGGCACUUUACAAAUUGUUUGUUGAUUGUGACUGAAUAACUUGCAAUGAUUUACACCGAAUUAAUUUCAAUAUGAAAACAUAAGCAAAUUUUAUGAAUGAUUUUCUUACAUUUUUGCUUUCAUUCAUUAAUGAGGCCCAAUGAUUGUUUUUAAUGGCUGAACGCAUCAAUGACAACAUCAGGUCAUUUUUGAAUAGCAGUUUUAACAUUUAAAUGGGAUUUACAUAAAAUUGGUUUCAUGAACCUUUGAAGUGAUUUGGGAAAAAAAUAUGCAUGGUUCGAAACUAAUACUAAUAGUUUUAGUUUUUAAUUCAUUGCCAAUUUACAAGUGGUUUUACAUUUUAGUUGGAAUAAUUUAAUUAAUUGUGAUGGUUUGUACGUUAUACGAAUAGUUUGAAUGUUUUUAACCCAUUUACGUAAGAAUAGUUUUAUGAAUGGUUUUAGCCAAUUAAUUGAUUGCUUCUGGAUUUACAUCUCAUUGAACUGACUCAUUGAACUGAUUGUGACUGAAAAAUUUCAAUGAUUUACACUGAAUUCAGUUCAAUAUAAAAACAUAGUUUUGUGAUUGAUUAUGUAAUGACAACAUUAGGUCAUUUUUAAAUAGCAGUUUUUAAAUUAUGCCAUAAAGGAUAAUAAUACCUUCUAUGGUGAGACGUGGCAUCACUUGUUUUCAGUAAAGCCAAAACCACAUCAUGAGUGACUGACAACCAGUGCUAAAUCCUUCUUUAUUAACCUCAAUCUAGAUUGCUCUCUAAAUGAAGACAACUUUUCUCUGAGGUGUCCAAAGCACAAGGUAAGAGAACAAGACUUCACAUCUAAUGUGUCAAGAAGCACCAAGAUGGCUAUUUGGGAGGCAUUUUUAUUCUUCAUGGAGCCUUAAUGUAUAUCGUAGUUUCUGUGAGACGGUAGCACUGUGUGUCUGUUUAAAUAGCUUUUCACUGAACACAUGGCUCUUUCUUUAAAUAAAUUCACUUAGAACUAAAAUUUUCUUUAAGGGAUAAAAAUCUACCUCAGCUUAUGGUCUAAACUAUAAGGAGCCCUUUACAAAAAUCCACCCACAGUUCAGCUCACACUUGCACUGCGGUUAGAAGAAUCAGAAAGAAUCAGAAUCAGAAAGAGCUUUAUUGCCAAGUAUGCUUGCGCAUACAAGGAAUUUGUUUUAGUGACAUAAGCUUCCAGUACACAAAAGACAACAACACACAGUCAAAAAAAUAAAAAAUAAAAACCCUUUGCAGAUAAAUAAGUGUAUAAACAAUUGUGCUAUAAAUGAUAAUGGAAUUGGAUUGAGUAAGAUGCAGGGAUGUACUAGGAUGAAGGGGUAACAAAUAAAUAUAAGGAUAUUGCACAUUUUUAUUGUAUAAGUGGGGAAGAUUUAACUGUUCAUGAGGUAGAUUGCCUGGGGGAAGAAACUGUUCUUGUGCCUGGCUGUCCUGGUAUUUGCUGCUCUGAAGCGCCGGCCAGAUGACAAAAGUUCAAAAAGGUGGUAACUUGGAUGUGAGGGAUCCAGGGGUGAUUUUCUGAGCCCUUUUCCUCACCUGGAUGUAUAACAGUUCUUGAAGGGUGGGCAGGGGAGCACCAAUAAUCCUUUCUAGCAGUCCGAACCGUUCUCUGUAGUCUUCUGAUGUCUGAUUUUGUAGCUGAACCAAACCACACAGUUAUUGAAGUGCACAGGACAGACUCAAUGACGGCUGAGUAGAACUGUUUCAGCAGCUCCUGUGGCAGGUUAAACUUCCUCAGCUGGCGAAGGAAGUACAGCCUUUGUUGGGCCUUUUUAACAAUGGAGUCAAUGUGAUUGUCCCACUUCAGGUCCUGAGAGAUGGUGGUUCCCAGGAAUCUGAAUGACUCCACUGCAGCCACAGUGCUGUUCAUGAUGGUGAGUGGAGGGAGUGCAGGGGGGUUUCUUCUGAAGUCCACGAUCAUCUCCACUGUUUUGAGCGUGUUCAGCUCCAGGUUGUUAAGACUGCACCAGACAGCCAGCUGCUCAACCUCUUGUCUGUAAGCAGACUCGUCACCGUCCUGGAUGAGACCGAUGAGUGUGGUGUCGUCUGCAAACUUCAGGAGCUUGACAAAGGGGUCUUUUGAGGUGCAGUCGUUGGUGUACAGCGAGAAGAGCAGUGGGGAGAGAACACAUCCCUGAGGGGCACCAGUGUUGGUGGAGCAGCUGUUGGACAUGAAUUUCCCCAGUCUCACUAGCUGCUGCCUAUCUGUUAGAGAGCGGAGUAUUGCCAGAUGGAUGCUAGGCAACGGCGUUCGAAAUCCGCGCUUCCUGAGUCUAACGAGCGCACCAGCUCGCUUCCCCCGUUUGCGCGUCCUGAAGCGUUUGAUCAGCGCCGCUGCUCCGCCGACAACAACGUUCAGUAAAACGUCUGAAUAAUUGAAAUCCGGUAAAAGAUCUUGUGGUGUGUUCUGCCGAAUGUUCAGCAGUUCUUCCCUGGUGAAACUGAUCGUGUUUGUUAAACAAAAAACAGGAAAAACGAACAAAAACAGUACAAACACUGGAGAGCCAAGCACUGAAGCAGCCGUCUGCGGCGCCAUCGAGAGCUAUAUCAUGGAUAAUUAAUGUGGCUGCGUCCAAAUUAGACAAAGUUUACCCUCUUUGAACUAAAAGUUUUGCUCUGGUGGGAGAGCUUAUUUUGGAGUUAAAGCCACCAGUGGCCAAACUGGGGCUGGCAAAUAUGCCCUCCGCUGGUGACAAGAACCAGAUUUUGAUGCAACAUCUCCAGCGGCGGGGGACGUCUCAGAUCUACGUCCCAUUUACAGAAGUUAAUAUCUGAGAUAGUUUAAAUAGUAAUGAAUUAAUGCACUCCGAUGCAUUAUGGGAAGCCUUUAAAGAGAUCUAAAUUUACUGUUCUGGGGUGGGGCUGUGACCUAACUAGGCCUGUGGUGUAGUGGGGACAUGAUGCUUAGGUGCAAUGUCUGGAAAUGGGCCUCUACUUUGGGGCUUCAUGGGAGACGUAGGGAUGACCAAGGUUGACAGGAUUUCUCAGUGGGUUUUCAGUAGGCCCAAACAACUCAUUAUAAUGAACAUAAAGUGCUGCAGUCUUUUUUUACUGUCAGAAUAAUGCAAAACAUUUACUUGAAAGCAUCCAAAAAGAAAAACAUAGUCAAUCUCACCUUAGAGUAUGCAUAGAGAUCAUAUUGGUUUGUGACAUCUGAUUAUUUCAAACAAUUCAAACAAUUGCUGGCUGUUAUUUUGAAUUAUUCAUAAAUAGUUUUAUGAAUAAUCGAUUUGUUUUUUGCAGUAGUAUUGCCAUUUGCCCAAUAUCUUGAAGAAUUUUGCCAGAAAUGUAAAAAUUUAGAGGAAAUGUCAAGUGAAAGCGAAGUUAGUUUCAUUUUUUUUGUCUUUGAGAAUGAUGUAUAAAUAGUUUUCCGAACUGUUUUAUAAUAGAUUGUAUAUUGAUUAUAGUAGAUAGUAUUGAUUGUAUAGUCUUAGUUUAAUUGAUUUGCAACAGUUUUAUUUUAUGCAAGAAUGGUUUUAGUAGUGGUUUUAGACAUUGAAUUUGAUAUUUUUUUGAUUGUUUUGAUUGUUGAAUUG
rnacentral:lncRNA from 1 species